AUAAUUGUUAUCCUAAAAGUCUGUUUGUUCUUGAUUUUAAAAUUUCCUUGUAAAACUUUGUAGUUGUUAUCUGUUCACUUUUUACAGAAAUAUAACUUCUGAAAGACAACGUAAAAAGCAUAUUAAGAUGGUAGACCAUCGGUCCAGAGAAAAUGUGACAAUGGCUCCUAAUGCUAACGCUGACCAUGCUUAAUAGAAGAGGUGGCUUUCCUCCAGUCAUCUUUUAUAUUUCAAAGUGCCAGAUAGAAUUAUAGUAGUUAAGAUUAAAAACUACUGCUCCCAUUUCAAGAAUGGUGCACUGACCUCCUGGGUAUUCAACCGAGACUUAGAGACCUGAAACUAAAAAGAAUAAUUGAGCUAAGAAGACUGCCAACAUUCUGGCCUUUGCCCUCUGAAAUCAGCCAGGACCCAGGGCAUGAGGGGAUCCUUCUGAAAGGUCCCUGCAACUCUGACUUUAUAUUAUCUGGAACUGGUCACUAUGAAAGGUCUUCAGGUCUACAAAUAAAGGCUGCACAGGCUACCAUCAAGUGAUGAUUGUUCAUCGAACAAGACUCCAUCUUCCUUUGUCCCCUUAGAUCAAGAUUACUGUGUUGUCUCCCUCCUUCUCCCCGACUUGCAUGAUGUGUUCUCUGUCCUCCUUGCUGUGGAAGGAGGAACCAGAUCUCAGCCCUACCUCUGCCCAUUGCUCGGUGUGAGAGCACCACGUGAUCAAAGCCCAGAGAUGUGAGAUGGCUCCACCCCUGGCUGCCCUCUGCAGCUGAUCCCGAGCACCUGGUGGCCUCUUUUGUGGCUGCCCUUGUGUGCCGUGUCGGAGCCCUGCAGAGCCGCAGCUGCCUGGGCUCCUGGGGAGAGCGGGGGAAGGAGAGGCUGGGCUCCAACACACGUGGGCCAGGUCUGCGUCCCCUCGAGGGUCCCCGGAGGGAUAGUGAGAAUGGACGGGGUCAGGCAGGAGUACAGAGAACAUGACGAGAGGGAGACAGAGAGACAGAGAGGAGCAGACAGAAACAAAGACCCUAAGGAAGAGGAGGCCUGGAGAGGUGAGCAUCAGAGGGUGAUAAUCAUCAAGGCAGCAGCCUGGUGGGGAACAAGACCAGAAGCCCCAAGGUGGAAGCACAGAGUCCAAGAGGGAGAGGAGGGAAGAGAAGAGAGGGCAGUGGUGAGAGCCGCCUGCAUGCCAGGGCCCUGCUGCCCCCAGCACUCCAAGCCGAGCUCCUUGCCGCAUGAUGGGGCAGGCUGACCUGCAGGCGUCCUCUACCGAGCAGCCAGCUCAGACUGAAGCAAAAGGAGAAAGGCUCUGCCUACCCUGGCCACCACACAGCCUACAGCCUGGCUGCAGAGAAGGUGCCUCUGAGAGCUGGUGUGGCUUCCCGGGCAGCAGUGUCCAUGCCCGCAGGAACACUGGAGCCCAGAUUCACGGAGCGCAGGGGUCAUUCAGCAUGCAGACCAUCAACUUCAGAUGGCCUUUUUCUGGCCUAGUCUGGGGGCCUGUGGCUGGGGCUGCUGGAACCUCUGGAUGGACAGAGGACCGCGGGAAAUCAGGACUUGCCUAGAGUGGUGUAAGCUGUCUCUGAGAAGGUGGAGUGGGAUUAGCACUGUCUCUAGGAGAAAACCCUAGUCUUGGGGGUGUCAGCCCGGGCAUGACCCUCAAGGAAGUGUAACAUCCAUAAGGGGAUCAUUGACCCUUGGUGUGACUCCCCUGGUUGCCUUUGGUUACUUUUGCAGCAUCUCCCCCCUGAGCCCCAUCACACGAACCUCAACAUCAGUUUCUACCUUCACUCACCUUCAUCGUGCUGAGCUCAGUUCAAUCUUCACCGUGAUUUCCUCUCAUGCCACAGCCCCUGUGCCAGCAUUUCAUAUGGGUGUGUGGAAAUUACCCAACUUCUUGUGUGAGCUCUGAAGACUGUGUUAUUCUAAUUUCUGAACCUCUCAUGGCCUGAGCAGAGAACAUUGUAAGUACUUUAUAAAUACUUGCAGAGGAAGGAAGUCCAUACAAGGGUGAAAGGAAUUUUCUUUCCAAUCCCGAAAGUUUGAUAAAUGUAGUCUAUACAACAAAAUCACAAUAGAUAGAUGAACAAGAGAAAAGGAACAUAAAUGUAUGAACACACGAGUGCAGGGGAGUCACACAAAGUUUGAAAGUCAAAGAAAGGACACAUGGAUGAAGUUUAAAUAUCCUGCUGAUAAGGGAGUAGGAAACGGGCUGUGGACAGUCUUUGAGGAAGGGGAAAUGACAGGGUGUGAAGGCCCCAGAGAAGAGUUUGCCUGGGCCUUGGGUGUGGAGUCAACUCUGCUCUUCCUGCAAUGAGUUUAAUCUUCCUUGGCUGGUGAGCUGACAGGGUCAAAGUAGAAGGUAGCUUUUUUGGUGGAUGCCAUCUUUAGGCAGAGAAGGGGCUUUCAGGGCAAAGCCUUCUUCUACAUUUGCUGUUCUGCAGAGCUGUAAGUCUCUAGCCUAAAGUGGUCUAUUUUGGGGUAUCAUUUUCUGGACACAACAGAGGAAAGGAAGACAGGGAAGAAGGAAGGGAGGGGCCAAAGUCACUUUCUUGGUGCAAGGACAUCUUUGAGAUCCAGUGACACAGUUUGGGUUUCUGUUUUUCGAGGUCUCUUUAUGCCUUGGCAAGUCUUUCUGGUGUUGGAUUGGAAGAGCGCCAUAAAGGAGGCCACAGCCAAGCCUGUGCCCAGUGCCCUGGGAAACGAAGGGGCCUGACGAUUCCUUAGGAACAGCAGCAGCAGGGGAGACAGCAGCAGGAACUGUGGCUGUGCAAUUCCUGAGGAUGCUUUUUCCCAAGCCCCUCCCCUCUGAGCCUUAGUUUCCUAAUCUGAAAGUGUGAACUAGAACAACGCCCAUGUGGCUAUUAUCAGCGGGAACGAGCUGACCUGGGUCUCGUGGCGCACUCAGCACAGUCUUGAGUGCAUAAAAGCAUUCAGCUCACAUUAAGUGACAGUCAGGAGUCUGUCUCUGACAUCUGUAGGGCUCUGCUCAGCAGCCGUGAAAAAAUGGGUUCAACACCCAGCCAGCUAGUGACUGAGAGUUUGCAUUUUUCAACCCAAAGACAACAGUGCAGCCAAGUGCAGCUGUCAGGUCCUUUGCUCUUAUUGCUGUUUUAUGUUAGGGUCCUGGAAGGCUGCUUUUCUUCAUGUUUUCUAACACCUCAGGAAUACUGCGGCAUUUUCUACUGAUUCCCUCCUGGGGCCAUUCUCUGGUUGGCUAGGGCUCUCUCGCAGGUGUGGGGGUGACUCUGGCCAUGGGGCAGCUGAAGUUACCUGUAAGGAACAAGAUCCCAGCAGUGGUAUCCCUGGCGGCAUGGGGAACCCUCCUUCUCCUCUGAGUCCGGAUUUGGUCCUGAGGAAGACGUGUCACAGUAGCGGAAAUAAAGGCCCUUUCUGCCCAGCAGGUGUCAGUGAUGACUCUGGGCUCCUUGCCGUCAGAGGUCCACACAGCUGAUGUUGUAGGUUUGAAAUGUCCAGUGUGGAGUCCAGCGACACCAGCGUGAACUGCUGUUGGUGACACUGCAGGGUUCUCUUGGCCAAGGAAACAGAACUCAAGCUUCAGUACUUCUGCUAAACCAGGGGCUUUUACCCAUUCUGUGGACAGCACAGCUCCUGCAACUACUUCCCUCAUUGCUUGGUUCUGGGCAGCGAAGAGACUAAGUGUGCACUGCUCUCCGCCCCGAGCAGACCCUUUAGUGUGCGUUCCUGUGAGGUCAUCUCACUUUUAUGUUCCCAUUCAAGGUUCUCUUCAGUCCCGCCAUGGUUUUCCCUAUUAUUCUGGAUGAAACCUGCCCAGGUGAGGGCCACAGAAUCAUGUCCCGACAAUCAGCAGCCUGGGAAAUCAGCCACUUUGUGUGCCAUUGUCCCAGGCUGGUGCUGAACGCUGCGGCCAUCAGCAGCCCCGACACCUGGGAUUGCUUGGCUUGUAUUUUCUACAUUCAUUGAAAAUCCUGCCUUGUUGUUUAUUUUCUUUCGGUCCCAUGUGAGGCUGAGCUGUUUUUCACAACUCUUUGCGGGACUCGAUACCUGAUGGCAAAGGGAAAUUAAAGUACAUCCGUGGGCCAGGCACAUUUUUGUGCAGACAAAUGGUUUUCCAUAGAAACUCGGUGACACUUCUCAAGCCCUUUCUUAAAGUGCCCCGACCUGCCCUCCUUUCGUCCCUCCCUUCCUCCCUCUCCUGCUUCUUUCCUCUCUCCCUCCUUCUUCCUGCCUUCCUUUCUCUUGCCCCAUCCACCUUCUUUCCUUGUCUCUUGGAUACGAAUGUCACUCAAGCGAUGUUCGUAUUUGAGCAUCUUUCUUUAUUAUUUCUUUAUUAUUUGAGCCUAAGUAUUUUUAAUCCAUAAAAGGGAGAUUUUAAAACCUCAUAGAAUGACUUUGGAUUAAAUUAAAUUAUUCACACAAAGCACUUAGCAUAUUUCCUGGCCUACUAUUAGAAGGGCAAAAAAGUUAGCUAUUAUUGUUCCUUCAACAAGCAUUUAUGACAUAUUGCAUGUUAAACGUGGCACAUCCACAAACAUUUCCCAAAUAAAAAAUUGUCUUUAUUUCAAUACACACAAAUCACACACCAAUUUGGAGGCAGAGAAGUACUGACAUUGUGCUAAUGAUGAGUAGCUGUUAAAGUUCUGGGAGAAGCUGGGAUCGUACCCUGCUUUAUCUUCUAGAAGCUGUCAGGAGUUUUCGUUAGUUCUCAUUUCUUUUCUUCACCCCAUUUGUGGUUCCCCCAUCCUUUUGCCCGAGACCCUUCUUCCCUGGUUUGGGGUUACCUGUAGGGCCUUCUUCUCGCGUGGCAGUUCCUACGACUGAAUCCCCUGUCCAUUUCUGCACAGCUGUGCAAAUCAGCAUGAAAAAGAUGGCUCUUGCUGUUACAUUUGUCCACUUUUCCCCUGACAGUAGCCAAUGGCUCUAGGUUUCCUUCUGCUUCUAUGAACCCGUUGUCCCUCUGGCUGCUACCAGCUCCAGUCACUCGCCAUUCAGUGAUGGCAUAAGUGAUUAAUCUGUGACUAGUUUCCUUGGUCUUCCACAGAGCAAGCGCAGGGCCCAUUCAUCAAGAUGACCAGGUAACUGAAGCAGUCCACCUUGAGCCAGGGCUGUGAUGCUAGCCUGGCACUCUGUUGGGUUCAAUGCAAUAACUUUUCCUUGGUGAAUCCCGGGCUCCUCAGCCUCCGGCAGAGUCCCAUCAUGGACAGUGGCUUUUCUGUAAAUGCCUCUUCUCCUUACCACGUGCUUCUUUGGAACUUAAUCUGAGACUGGCUUGAGCCACAGUCUUAACUUGAUCUUGUUGCCCCUGAAGAGCCAACCAGAGGGAAUGGGCUUCUACUGCAGUUCGAGGAGGGGAGCUGGCCCUGGAAGGACUUUCCCCCCAGGCUUGGAGAAACUGCUGUAGAAUUCUGAGGAGGCCAAUGGGAACUUUCUAAGAAAGCUCUAAGGGAGGGAAUUAGAGGGAUAGUACUAGGGUAUGGAAUGGGUGCCUCCCUCCUAUCCCCAGUGCGAAGAAGGUUUAGAGGUGGAGGAGAUCUUAGCAACUAUCUAUUGCAAUCCCCUUCUCAAUCCCACUCUUGGGAUCGUUUUUCUUGGCAUGAGUCCUCCUUGUCUUUUUUUUCAUUCAUUUCACAGAUUUCUGUGAUUUGGGAUGUCAUACUGACGGAUCGUCACUGUCCCAAGUACAAGGUGACAAGACAUCAAACAGCCUCAAGGUUGCCUCAAGACAGUCAAGUCUGUAAAUCGGUCCAGAGUUACGUAGUGGAGAAUGUCACUGGCAAAUAUCAGAUGAGGAAUCUCCCAAGUUCUCAUUUCCCCCCCAGAAAUAUCAUGAAAAACUAAACUAAACUCAUCAGCGGUCAAAAACCAACUUUGUAGAAACUCUGGGAAACAGCCAGAGAUUUACAGCAAGAACCAAAUGUGCAAUCAAGGAAAAAGCUGUCUUCCAAAUGGAAUGAAAGUUGUUGAAUUUUUGCUCUUCUUGGCUCCAUCUCCCUUUCCCUCAGAGUACUGGUGUGGAGCAGACAGCAUAGAGUUCCCAAGUACCCACCUUAACUGAGGGAAGCUAAGCAGCCCUACUUGGAAAUCAUUGUGUACAUCUGUGCUAAGCUGUCUGGGGGACACCUGAAAUAUUGAUGUAAAGCAGUAGCCUCUGUUCUGUGUAACUCACUAUGUAGAUGGGAAGAUCAGCAGACACUACUGGUAAAAGCCACAAGGCAACCACAAGCCAGAGAUAUCUGGGGAGAGAGAUUCCAGGUGGAGACAUACAAUAGACCAUCUAAGAUCUGAAGAGAAGCUGAGGUUAGACCCUAGGAAAUUAGGUCAUUUAAAACUAGUCAUGUAUACCUGGGAAGUUGGAAACUCAGGCAAGAUGGAUGUUUAGAACAAUUCUGAGAAUACCUUAAGCCAUCAGUCUUGGGCUGAGCCCAAGACUCAAAGAAAGUCUGUGUAGUUGUGUGCCUCCAGCACAGAGCCAGCCUACAAAAACUAAGAGAGAUGGAUGGUCCCUCCUUUUGGUUUUAUAUUUUGGAUGCUGUAUGUUUGUUGGUUUUGCCCCUUGCCAUUUGGGAAUCUAAUGAAUAGCAUGAAAAGGCAUAGUCUUUGCAAAAAUGGUCUGGAAAAGUUUCAAAACAAAUGUUUAACUAUAACCUUCAACAACAACAAAGAGUAAGAAAGAAAGAGACAAAAGAGAAAACUAGAAAAUUUUAACAAAUUUUAUUUUCAGAGUACUGCAUUGAAAUAAUCAAAUACCCAAUUAAAAAAUCACAAGGCAUUCAAAGAAGCAGGACCAUAUGGUUCAUUCAAAGGAAUAUUAAAUGAUGGAAGCUGUCCUUGAAGAAACCUUGACAUCAGAAUCACUAUACAACCACUCUAAAACUAUAGUCUUAAUAUGCUUAAAGAGCUAAAAGAAAACAUAGGCAAAGAACUAAAUUAAAUCAGGAAAAAUAAUAUAUGAACACAAUGAAACUAUCAAUAAAGAUAUUGUUGAUCUUUACAAAAAUUACAAAAAUAGAAUCAAACAAAUUCUGGAGUUGAAAAGUGCAAUGACUAAAAUGAAAAUUCACCAGAAGACUGCAACAAGAGAGUAAAGAAGGCAGAAGAAAGAAUAGUAAACCAGAAGAUUAGAUAAACCAAAGUGUUGAAUCUAAGAAAUAGGACAAAAAUGAAAAGUAAACAGCAUAAGAAACUUUUGGAACAUCAUUUAAUGGACCAAUUUAUGCAUUAAGGAACUUACAAAAGAUAAAAGUAAUGGUCCAAGAAUUAUUUGGAAAAAUAAUGGUUUAACACUUUUCAAAUGUGAAGAAAGACAUGAGUCUUCAAAUCCAAAAACUUUAAGAAGGAUCACCCAAGAGACUCAUAUGAAGACCCAUUGUGAGCAAGUGUCAAAAGAAAAAGACAAAAAGAAUCUCAAAAGUAGCAAGGGAAAAAUAACUUGUCACAUAUAUGGGAUCUUCAGUCAAAUUAUCAACUGAUUUUUCAUAAGAAGCCAUGGAGGGCAAAAUGUAAUUCUAUGGUAUUUAUUAAAUGGUCAAAGAAGAAAACUGUCAAAUGAGAAUUCUAAAUCUGGCAAAGCAUAGAAGAAAAUAAUUCUGUCUACAUAACCAGGUUAAUUGUACUGAAGCAGGGCUUUGAAAAUAUUGUUAUCCUAUUUAUGAUGUUUCAAUGGUUCUCCAUUGCCUACAAGGUAAAAUCUAAGUUCUUUCCAAUUCCUAAUCUGAUUUCAAUUUACUUUUCCAGCACCACCUUGCACUGUAGCCAGAUAAUUCCAACAGAUACCUCCAUGUACCUUUCAUACUCCCCCUUGCCUACCUUAAUCAUAAUAUAGCUUCCCAGAGCAAUAUUGUACUCUAUUUCUUUUAGGAUGUGCUCUUGAAUCUUCCUACUGUUGAUAAGUCAUUUCUUCCCUUGUGCAGCAAAAUGGCGGUCUGUCUGUGUCCCUGUGGUUUGGCCAAGGCCUUCAUCCACCUCAGCCACUCACCUUUAUCUGAAACAGUGGAUUCUGAGCAAGGCUGAGGAAAGGCAAACUUUGAUGCUUAGCCACCUGAUGCUUUACUAUGAGCUCUAACUGGGUAAUAUUUCUUCUCACUGGACUCUGACUCUUUUUACUAAAGUGGUCUUUCCUCAAAAUACUAUAGAAGUAUUUUUGUGAACUGUGCUCAAAGACAGAUUCUAAACCCAAUAUUUUGGAAAAACUUUAGGGUGGCCUCCAUAGUGCCUGAUUGCUGUAAUCUGACGUUGAGUAGUUCUUUCAUCUUGGGCCAAAUUGGCCCUGUGACUUGCUUCUGUCAAUGGAUUAUGCCAAAGGUAAUGAGAAGUCACUGUCAUGAUUAGGUUACAUUAUGUAAGGGUCUCUGUAGGCCCUCUUUACUGUCCAGGCACCUUCCAUGAAGGUGCCAGUGGUCACAGAAAAGGGAAAGGUGUGUUUAUGGCUCUAUACCUCCUGUUUGUCAUCAGGAAUGGAGAAUCAGUGUCCUCCGUUCACACCCACAAAUGCACUCAAUGAUGCUAGGUGAGGCUAGGAACCCUUCUUAAGGACUUAGUGAAAGACACAAGCAUGUUGGAGAAGCCCACAUGUCAACAUACUGUGAGCAUUUCUGGGACACACAGGUGACUUAUAGCCUGCAAAAAGCUGAGGCCACUGGUCACAAAAAAAUGAUUCUGUCAGCUACCUGAAUGAGCCUGGAAGCAGAUUCUUCA